CUCCCUCCCCUUCUUCUUCCUCCCUCUCCUGGGGAUUCACAGCCUGGACCCCCUGCAUGACAAGCAAGUGCCCCAUUACAGAGAUACAGUUCCAGCCUUCCUGUGGGGUUGAUUGGUCUGCAAGUAAAUGUUACAAUGAUGUUAACAACGUUGAGAGAGGUGGAGAUUUGAAGGUGAAGAACAAACUUUGCAGCAGCAGUGCAAGCCAACAGGGAUGGACUCUAAGGUUGAAUGAAGGUGGACUCUAUUUUACUUUGUGAAUGAAAGUUAUUGGAAAGAAGCUGGGUCUGCGAAGACUAAUGAAAACCCAGUCACAUGGAGGGGCUGGAGUGUUGCAAGUCCAGAGGCUAAUUACCUGAUCCUUGGCUAGUUUUAGCACCUCCCAAGUAGCCAUUCCUUGGUCAUCUCUGUGUCAGAAGCAGCAUUCCAUGACUAACAGAUGAAACUUUUCAAAAUCUAUCAACUUAGCAGACUACUAGCAUUCACCAACCCCAAAGCUAAGAAGAAUGCCAUCAGAUAGCAUGUUGGACCCAUGGAAAAGCACUCUCCCAGCCUUGCUGCAGCAGUGUUCCUGAUGUACUCACCAAUGUAUUUUAAAUUUGUCUUGACUUUCUUUGUUCUGUAAAACCGGAAGACUUCAUGAAACUGCUUCCAUGUUAGAACAUGGAAUUUGGGGUAACCUAAACCUGUGCUGCUAGGCCGUAGUCACUCAAAAUGGUUCCAGAAUAAACUAUCUCUUAUUCACUUUAA